AGAGUUUGAUCAUGGCUCAGCCUGAACGCUGGCGGCGUGGCUAAGACAUGCAAGUCGCACGGAGGUAGCAAUACCUCAGUGGCGAACGGGUGAGUAAUGAAUCGCUAAUGUGCCCCGGACUCUGAGAUAGCUGGCCGAAAGGCCAGGUAAUAUCAGAUGAUAUAACUUUCUCGCAUGAGAGAGUUCUCAAAGGUCCGCCGGUCUGGGAGCAGGCGAUUUCGUAUCAGCUAGUUGGUGAGGUAACGGCUCACCAAGGCGACGACGCGUAGCCGGACUGAGAGGUUGGCCGGCCACAUUGGGACUGAGACACUGCCCAGACUCCUACGGGGGGCUGCAGUAACGAAUCUUCCGCAAUGCACGAAAGUGUGACGGAGCGACGCCGCGUGUAGGACGAAGCCCUUCGGGGUGUAAACUACUGUCAGGGGUUAGAAAGUUCUGAUCAACCCCAGAGGAAGGGACGGCUAACUCUGUGCCAGCAGCCGCGGUAAGACAGAGGUCCCGAGCGUUAGGCGGAAUCACUGGGCUUAAAGCGUGUGUAGGCGGAUCGUUAAGUGCCUUGUGAAAUCCCACGGCUCAACCGUGGAACUGCUUGGCAUACUGGCGGUCUUGAGCAACCUAGGGGCAAGUGGAACAAAUGGUGGAGCGGUGAAAUGCGUAGAUAUCAUUUGGAACGCCAAUGGUGAAAACAGCUUGCUGGGGGUUUCUGACGCUGAGACACGAAAGCCAGGGGAGCGAACGGGAUUAGAUACCCUUGUAGUCC
rnacentral:rRNA from 1 species